AGAACCCGGGGCGGAGCUCCCCAGCCCUCACUGCGGUCUUUCUUUCCAGUGGCCUCGGACGGUUAGGUCAUGUCUUUUCGAGCUCCUCUACACGUGGGGGGUGAUCAAGCCAGCUGGUGGCCCCCAUAGGUAUGAAACCAUUCACGACAAGGGAUUUCAGCUUACAAAGAGGUCAGAAGUACAAAAGGCCUUGGCCCCAGUGAAGGAACAGUGAUGAAAAGCCCAGAAACCUGUCCCCCAUGAAACUCCUGGCAGGGCAGAAGGAUUCAAUAAGGUGGCGCUACCAGCACAGGGAGGAACUGAUUCCUGGUUGAAGAAGAAUAAUUAUUAAUUCAUGUUGGGUUCCCUGUGCCAGUACACAUUCCCUAAGAGAUUUGGGUGGCUUAAUCAUGCAAAUUAAAAUAAUCUAAUAGGAUUUGCUACUUGAUAAGUGAAAGUAAUUACUCAUCUUCUCCCUGUUGACUUGAUUAUUGUUAUUUUAAACAUAAUUCUCCUUCUGGUAUAAUGAGUGGCUGAAAUGACAUGGAAAUGUUAAAUAAAACCUUAUAUAUAAAACUCCU
ensembl:lncRNA